rnacentral:rRNA from 1 species
CCCAGUAGCGGCGAGCGAACGGGGAGCAGCCCGGAGUCUGAAUCAGCUUGUGUGUUAGUGGAAGCGUCUGGAAAGUCGCAGGGUACAGGGUGAUACUCCCGUACACUAAAAUGCACAGGUUGUGAACUCGAAGAGUAGGGCGGGACACGUGGUAUCCUGUCUGAAUAUGGGGGGACCAUCCUCCAAGGCUAAAUACUCCUGACUGACCGAUAGUGAACCAGUAC